UCGGAUCUGUUCACGUAGCUGGACGUGACGCGCAAGAUCACCUCCAUCGCGCUGUCUUCCCGCCUCGGCUGCGCUCUGCCCAUUGUUCAUCGAGCAAUGGUCGCUUCGCUGGCGGCGAACAUCCGACAGAUGCACGGCAAGAGCAAAAGGGGAUUGAUGAUCGAUGAUGGCCGUGUAUAGGUGGCUACAGGAGCCAGUGGAGGAGAUGGUUUGCAAGCGCCUCGUGGUACUCCUAAAUUCUUGCUUGGAAGACUCCUUCGCACACUUUGCUGGGCAUCCAACAUGAUAAAAGUAGCUCAGACCAAGUCCUGUUAUCUGCUAUCGGUAAAGCUUUUGCUAGAGUCUUGAGAUAUUGCAGGAUGAUGGCUAUAAUGAGGAUGACAUGGCAAAUGUACUGAGCUAAUAUCAUUCCAAUGUAAGAUGAAUCUAAGAGCAUCCAUUUAAUAUGGGGCAGAUGAUUGAAACUUUUGCCAAAUGUCCACUUCUAGCAUAGCCCAGGACUGUCAUUUUCUGAAAUUGCUCCUGAAGUGUUUCUUUCAUGCUUUUCACUUCUAGCAUGAUCCGCAUGUGGUCAGAGUUCUGAAGAUGCUUGUGCACACAUGUUCAGCGAUCAAACGAUGCCGAUCAAUGCAAGAUCCAGCUGACUGAAACAACAAUCUCAG